rnacentral:rRNA from 1 species
UACGUAGGGUGCAAGCGUUGUCCGGAAUUAUUGGGCGUAAAGAGCUCGUAGGCGGCUUGUCGCGUUGUUCGUGAAAACUCACAGCUCAACUGUGGCGUGCGGGCGAUACGGGCAGACUGGAGUACUGCAGGGGAGACUGGAAUUCCUGGUGUAGCGGUGGAAUGCGCAGAUAUCAGGAGGAACACCAGCGGCGAAGGCGGCUCGUGG